GGGCGUAGCGAUUGGCGCCAUAUUGAAAAUUAAGAAAUACAGUAUAAUAAAUACAUAUUUACCGUGUCAGUAGGAAUGUUAUUAAUUUAUUGAAAUAUUUAUUUAAAACAGGAUUAAUUCAAUGUUUAGAAUUAAAGUUGGAAAUAGAACGUAUCAGAAGCUGAGAAAAAUAUAUUUUCGAUAUGAACGUUUUUAUUGUAAAGUUGAUAACAGUGAAGAUAAAAAGAAUCCGCGAUUUAAUCCAUUGAAUAUUCAAAUGCUAUCUCCUUCUCUCCAUUCACAAAUAUUCAAAAAUUCACCACAAAUCAAACAAGAAAGUAUUAAAAAGAGCGUCGAUCAUCUGAAACACCAUCAACUAUGGGGAAAGGAAACAUCCGUUCUUCCAGAUAUAGAAUGGAAACUGCCUAAAUUAUUUGGAAACAAUAUUGAUGAACAUUUUCAAUAUCUUGGGAAUAGAUUUUCAUCUGAAUAUAGGAAACUUCUAGAAAUUCUAAUACAUGCUGAGCUUCCAGAAAAACCCCAAAAAUGGGAAUUUAUAAAAGGAUGGGUCAGAUAUUCAAAUGGCAAAGUAGAAUCUGUUGAUUAUCCUCUGGAAUCAGCUCUUGUAUUUGAUGUUGAAAUUUGUUUGAAAGAUGCACCAUAUCCAACAUUAGCAACUGCAGUUUCGAAUGAAGCUUGGUAUUGUUGGUGUAGUGAAAGACUUGUUAAUGAGCAGUUUUCUUGGUCAAAAGGCAUUACUUUGGCUGAUCUCAUACCAUUAGAAAUACAAGGAAAUGUUAAAGCAUCAGGAAAAAAAGAUUGGUCAGAAAAAAUAGUAAUUGGUCAUAAUGUAAUGUUUGAUCGAGCUUUUGUAAAAGAGCAAUAUUUCGUUCAGGGUACAAAAUUAAGAUUUUUAGAUACAUUAUCACUGCAUAUGUGUGUUUCUGGAUUAACAUCUACUCAGAGAGCUAUGUCAAUGGCUUACAAAUCUAAGAAAAAAGAUAAUUCAGAAAAUGAUUUAUCUCCUUUGAUGUGGUUAGAUAUCAGUUCAUUAAAUAAUUUGGCUGAUGUCUAUUCUUUAUAUAAUGAAGGAGAGCAAAUUAAUAAAGAUCCUAAAGAUAUUUUCAUUACUGGCACUUUGAAUGAUAUCAGAGAAAAUUUUCAGGAAUUAGUUUCAUAUUGUGCAAAUGAUGUUUUUGCUACCCAUAAAAUUUUGCAGAAGUUGCUUCCUAUAUUUUAUUCAAGAUUUCCUCAUCCAGUAACUUUGGCAGCAAUGUUAGAAAUGUCAACAGCAUAUCUUCCUGUUAAUUAUAAUUGGAUUAGAUAUAUUGAAGAUUCUCAAACAACAUAUAAUAAUUUACAACAUGAAUUAAAACUUUCUUUAAUUCAUUUAGCUGAUGACAAUUGUGAUUUAUUAAAUAAUCAAAGAUAUAAAAAAGAUCCAUGGAUGUGGGACUUGGAUUGGUCUGUUCAAGAAUUAAAAUUUCGUAAAACAAUAUCAAAGAAAAAAAAUCAAAAAUCUUUAAAAAGUCAAAGUGAUAAUUCUAUAAAUGAGGUAAGUGAUGAUGAAUUGUUAUUAGUUGAAAAAGUUCAAGAUAUUCUUCAAACUGCUAAUUACUUACCAAAAAUAAGACCAUUUCUUCCUGGUUAUCCUUUGUGGUACAGAGAAUUAUGUGAAAAACCUAAAAAAAAUGGAAAACAUGAUGAAUGGAUAUUUGGUCCUGUUCUGAUUAGCACUCAAAUAAGAUCAGUUCCAAAAUUACUGCGUUUAAUCUGGGACAAUUUUCCUUUACAUUAUGAUAAAAAGCAUGGCUGGGGCUAUUUGGUUCCAAAUUGGUGUGGUCCAGAAGAAAUUUAUUCUGAAAAUCAGGAUAAUAUAUUUCCUAUAAAAGAACUUUUAAAAAAAAUUGUUUUUAAAGCUGUUCAGUUACCAAAUGUUGAACACAUAACUUCAGCAGAAUUUGAAAAUAUUUGGAAAAAGGUGGUAGAACCAAAAGAAUCGCACAAAGAAAGAGAAUUACAAUGGAGUCUUAUACUAGGCAAAGAUUCAACUAAAAAUCUUCUUUUUCAUCACGGGAAUGGACCUUUUGAUGAUGUUUGUAUUCAAGGAUGCCAGUUUUUUCGUUUACCACACAAGGAUGGUCCUCAUAAACGAGUUGGUAAUCCAUUGUCAAAAGAUUUUCUAAUUAAGAUAUCUGAUGGUACCCUUCAAGUUUAUGAUAGUGGAUAUGCUGAAAAAGCAUUAAAAUUUAGUAAGAUGAUAUCUUAUUGGAAAAAUUCUCAUAAAAGAAUAGAGUCCCAAAUGAUUGUUAGUUUAAAUAAAAAUGAAUUACCUCGAGCAAUAACAAGAAAUGAAAAAUAUGAAGAAGAAAGUAUGUAUGGAGCAAUUUUGCCUCGCCUUAUAAUAGCAGGAACUGUAACACGUAGAGCUGUAGAACCCACAUGGUUAACUGCUAGUAAUGCCUAUCUAGAUCGAGUUGGGAGCGAAUUAAAAUCAAUGAUUCAGUCACCUCCAGGAUAUCAUUUUGUUGGUGCUGAUGUGGAUUCACAAGAAUUAUGGAUUGCAUCACUUUUAGGCGAUUCGCAUUUUACUGGAAUUCAUGGCUGUACAGCAUUUGGCUGGAUGACACUUCAAGGAAAGAAGAGUAAUGCUACUGACAUGCAUAGUAAAACAGCCUUAUCUGUUGGAAUUACCAGAGAACAAGCUAAGAUAAUUAAUUAUGGUCGGAUUUAUGGUGCUGGUCAACCAUUUGCCCAGCAGUUAUUAAUGCAAUUCAAUCAUCAUCUAACACCAGAAGAUGCUAAACAGAAAGCUAAAAAAAUGUAUACAGAAACUAAAGGAAUUAGAAAACUAGUUAAUGAGUUUGAAGAUGAUAAUGAUGAACAAGAUACAAUUUUAACAAAUAAAUUUAAAAAAAGAAAGUGGAUAGGUGGAAGUGAAUCACAUAUGUUUAACAAAUUAGAAGAAAUUGCACAAUCUUCAGAACCUCGAACACCAGUGCUUGGUUGUCGAAUCAGUAAAGCCUUAGAACCUGAAACUGUGGAUAAAAACUUCAUGACAAGUCGUAUAAAUUGGGUUGUGCAAAGUUCUGCAGUUGAUUAUCUUCACUUAAUGCUUGUGUGCAUGAAAUGGUUAAUAGAAGAGUAUGGAAUAAAUGGAAGAUUUUCUAUAAGUAUUCAUGAUGAAGUACGCUAUCUUAUUCAAAGUGAAGAUCGCUAUCGGGCAGCUCUUGCAUUGCAGAUAACAAAUUUACUUACUAGAGCAAUGUUUGCACAUAAAGUUGGAAUGAAUGAUUUACCUCAGUUCUGUGGACAUUGAUACAGUUAUUAGAAAAGAAGUGGAUAUGGAUUGCAAAACACCAUCAAAUCCUCAUGGAUUAGAAAGAGGAUAUGGAAUACCACCAGGUGAAUCUUUAGAUAUUUAUAAUAUUAUCAAGAAAACAAAUGGCUCUUUGAAGAAUUAAUUCAAGAAAGAUGCUUUUGUAUUUUGAUAAAGAGAAUAUAACAUAUUCAUGUACAAAGGUUUUAUUAAAAU
rnacentral:misc_RNA from 1 species